AACUGUUUCUCUGCUGGGGCUGUGCAAUGCUGUAAUCUACUAUUCUGUCUCAAGUUAUUUCGAAAGGCUAGAAGUCUUCCCAUGUUUUUGAGAUCACAAAAGUUAUUUUUUGCCAGAGAAAGAGAUAUUUGACUACAAUAGAUCAUCUUCUAAUAUCAAAGGAUAUGAUCAGUUUCAGUUUUAAUCCCACACGAUUUUUUCAUGAUAUAAUGUUAUGUACGUGGUCAAUUUAAAUGGCAGUCUGUUAAAUUGCAGCGGAAUAGCGGCUUUUUAAAUACUUGGGUUGACGUCACUAAACUUUUCAAGAAGCUGUGCGCGCUGCCCGGGUUUGUGAAGAGAGACGGAACAGAGCCGUGCAUGAACGAGAGAGCGCUGGGCGACAAGGAGACCUUACAAAACAAGGAAUCUUUCACUUCAUUCGGAGAGAGGGACCUGAUGAGUCAGAGGGAGGAUAGAUGAGUGACGGACACUACUAGUGGGUUCCAGGCACACAAAUCCAAAUCAAGAAGGCUCCUGAUCCACUGCAGAGCCCCGGUCUCAGUACCACCAUAGAAGCUACCGCAGUAUGACGGGCUUUCAACAGGAGAACGGUAACAGCUCACUGUAUUCAUUG